CCUACGGGUGGCAGCAGUGAGGAAUAUUGGUCAAUGGACGGAAGUCUGAACCAGCCAUGCCGCGUGCAGGAAGACGGCUCUAUGAGUUGUAAACUGCUUUUGUACAAGGGUAAACCUGAAUACGUGUAUUCAGCUGAAAGUACUGUACGAAUAAGGAUCGGCUAACUCCGUGCCAGCAGCCGCGGUAAUACGUAGGUGGCAAGCGUUGUCCGGAUUUACUGGGUGUAAAGGGCGUGCAGCCGGGAAGACAAGUCAGAUGUGAAAUCCCGCGGCUCAACCGCGGAACUGCAUUUGAAACUGUUUUUCUUGAGUACCGGAGAGGUCAUCGGAAUUCCUUGUGUAGCGGUGAAAUGCGUAGAUAUAAGGAAGAACACCAGUGGCGAAGGCGGAUGACUGGACGGCAACUGACGGUGAGGCGCGAAAGCGUGGGGAGCAAACAGGAUUAGAUACCCCAGUAGUC
rnacentral:rRNA from 1 species